AUUUGGCUAUAUGCUGGAACAUCUGAGUAUCCCACACUACUUAUCUUCUUCAAAGUUAUUUAUUUUCCACAAAAUUAAUAUUGUUGAUGGAAAAUAAAAACAUAAUGAAGCAAGAGAGUAAAAAUGUGUUGGGUGCAGACAAUCAGCAGGAAAGACUAGAUGCACAAUGGAUUGUAGGAUUUGUCGACGGUGAAGGUUGUUUUCAUAUAGCAAUAAGUAAGCUAUCAAAAAUGACUUUAGGUUGGCAAGUACUUCCUGAAUUUAGAAUUGUACAACAUCAACGUGAUGUAGCAUUACUUCAUGAAAUCAAAAAUUUCUUUGGUUUUGGAAGUGUAGGCAGAAAUCACGGUGAUCGUCAAGAGUUUCGCGUUCGCGGAAUGGAAAAUCUUGAAAAAAUAAUUACAUUUUUCAAAGAACAUCCAUUAAAAACCGUAAAACAAAAAGACUUUGAAAUUUUUUGUACCGUUGUUGAGAUCAUGAAAAGAAAAGAACAUCUCACGCAGGAAGGAUUAAAGAGAAUUGCUGAUUUAGCAUCAACGAUGAAUCGAAAAAUUCAACGUAAUCUAGAAUCCUCAGAGACUGCAUGCCAAACAAACAGAAAUGUUUGAAGAUACAGUCCGAACACAGCAGCGAUGUUGUGAGAUCAAUAGAAAUAUUUGAUCCGAUUCUUUAUGAGAAUUCGUAACAAACUUUGAGCGUAAUACCUUGUCGGUUGAAUGCCGACUUGCAUGAAUGGCAUAACGAGAUCGUCACUGUCCCGAACUAGUGUCUCCCGAACACUACAUCCUGGUGCAAAGUCCAGGGAUUUCCAGUGGGAAGCGAAGACCCCGUGAAACUUUACUGCAGCCUGUCGUUGUGGUGUGAUUUUUGAUAUAUAGCGUAAGUGGGAGCUGUUUGAGGCUAUGUGCGUCAGCAUAUGGUUGAGGCGAUAAUGUAACACCACUUAUCGGAAAUUACAUCACUUACCUUGCAAAAGGGACACCGAUUGGUGGGCAGUUUGGCUGGGGCGGCACGCUGUUGAAAAAGUAUCAAUAGCGCCCAAUGGUAGGCUCAUCCGGUUUGGAAAUCCGGAGUGGAGUGCAAGGGCAAAAGCCUGCCUGAUUGGCUUUCAAACAUAACGAAAUUCAAACACGAAAGUGUGGCCUAGCGAACUUCUGUGCCUUCUUAAUGAGGGCCAGAAAUGACUGAAAAGUUACUCCGGGGAUAAUUGAGUCGUCGCGCCCGAGAGUUCAUUAGAAGUAAACAUUUGUUUUCUUCAGAAUUAAUCGACGGCGCGGUUUGCUACUUCGAUGUCGGCUCUUCCUAUCCUGGCGGUGCAGAAGCUGCCAAGGGUGGGGGUGUUCACCCGUUAAAAGGGAUCGUGAGCUGGGUUCAUUACGCUGUGAGGCAGUAAGUUUGAUAUCUACUGGGAAUGUUGGGUAUCUGAAAGGAAGGAUCUUUUAGUACGAGAGGAACGAAGGUUCGUUGCCACUGGUCAACCGGUUAUCUGAUAAGGUACGCCGGGCAGCUACGCAAUCGGCGAUAAAUACUGAACGCAUCUAAGUAUGAAGCGCUCCUUGAAAAGAGAUACCCUAGGACAUGGCAAUAACAGCCGUUUGAUAGAAGUGGUGUGUACGCACGAAGGCAACGACGUGUUCAGCAUGCACUUACUAACGUCCGUAUCAAUUUU
rnacentral:rRNA from 1 species